GAUGAACGCUGGCGGCGUGCCUAAUACAUGCAAGUCGAGCGAACAGACGAGGAGCUUGCUCCUCUGACGUUAGCGGCGGACGGGUGAGUAACACGUGGAUAACCUACCUAUAAGACUGGGAUAACUUCGGGAAACCGGAGCUAAUACCGGAUAAUAUAUUGAACCGCAUGGUUCAAUAGUGAAAGACGGUUUUGCUGUCACUUAUAGAUGGAUCCGCGCCGCAUUAGCUAGUUGGUAAGGUAACGGCUUACCAAGGCGACGAUGCGUAGCCGACCUGAGAGGGUGUUCGGCCCCACUGGAACUGAGCCACGGUCCAGACUCCUACGGGAGGCAGCAGUAGGGACUCUUCCGCAAUGGGCGAAAGCCUGACGGAGCAACGCCGCGUGAGUGAUGAAGGUCUUCGGAUCGUAAAACUCUGUUAUUAGGGAAGAACAAAUGUGUAAGUAACUAUGCACGUCUUGCCGGUACCUAAUCAGAAAGCCACGGCUAACUACGUG
rnacentral:rRNA from 1 species